UGGAUUUUGAUGGAACAAGUUCAGAUCUAAAUAAACAAUCAUGUUUUGUGUUUAUUUCAUUAGUAGAUCUGAUACUUUUAUGGUUUGUUUUUCAGUUUUCUUUUGUUAUUAUCAAUUGUUGAUAAACAUCACUGUCCAGAGUUCGUCCUAAAUUUUAUACUUCUCUUGUUGUUUUAAAAGUUUGUGGGGAUAUAGUUGAUGAAAAGAAUGUACACAGUUGGGUUUUGCUUAGAUUUGUUUAUAGACCUUCUUUGAUUCAUAUGUGUAGUAUUUGAAUUUUAUGUUUGUUAGUGAUGUUGUGAAGUGUUUGAUGAAUAAGUGUUCUUGAAAUGCAUUAGAAGCGUUGGGUAUCUUUAGAGAGAUGAGAAUUGAAGGAGUUAAAUUGGAAUUGCAUGACUGUAUCUUACUCAUUGCUGGUGCUCCACUUGGUGAAGAAUUGAAAGGGAUUUUGAUUCAUGUGUGAAGGUGGGAACCCGUUCUGCGUUACUCAACUUUGGAUCACCAGUGGAUGCAUCUCAGCUAUAUAAAUUACUCCAUGCCCUUCAUCCACAUCCUCAUUAGAAGAAAAAUUAGCAGGAAGAGGUGCACCUGGAACAUAUUUGUACUCUACCUGGAAGCAGUGCAGCAAAUAUGUACUCGAAUUUGUAAGCAUUCAGAUAUAUAAUCGGAUUUGUAAGCAGUACGACAGAUAUGUACUCAGAUUUCUAAGCAGUGCGACAGAUAUGUACUCAAAUUUGUAAGCAGUGUAGCAAAU